GUGAUAUCCUCGAGGACUGUCAAAAUAAUGUGGGAUUUUUGUAUGUCCCCGGGCGAUACUUUAAUGGUUUACACUUGAGCAUAUGAUCAAGGCCUUUUGUGCUUGCGUAGGGCAAGGCUUUUUUAAUGUGCUUGCUUGGGGCAAGGCUUAUAUUUGGCUUGUCAAAGACAAGGCUUGAAGGGGCUUGCUCGGGGGCAAGGCUUAAAUUGGUUUGUCAAGGACAAGGCUUGAAGGGGCUUGCUCGGGGGCAAGGCUUAAAUUGGCUUACUCGGGGGCAAGGCUUAAAUUGGCUUGUCAAGGACAAGGCUUAAAGGGGCUUGCUCGGGGGCAAGGCUUAAAUUGGCUUGCUCGGGGGCAAGGCUUAAAUUGGCUUGUCAAGGACAAGGCUUGAAGGGGCUGUUAUACCCGAUGUUUGGAUUUAUUAAUUGUUUGGACUGGACUUGGAUUUAUAUUGCAUCCAAGCUGCCUACGUACCCAAACGGGAUCAAGUCGAACGUAGUUCAUUACAAAGGAGAACGGAAAAUAUGCAUGGGCACGCAGGCCCGCUAAACUAGAAAUAAAAUGCAGGAAAAGAAAAUCUCCUAAAAGGCGUCGGGAAUUUUACUUGUAAUAUAUUUUCAGAUUGUCGGCAUUCCAGGGCCUCGGAAGGGGUCUACCCGAAGUGUCUCUUAGGCUGUAUGCUCCUUUGCGAACCUGCCGUAUGACCUCAAAGGGCCCUUCCCAGACGGGCCCGAGCUUCCCUGGGGGGUGGCCUGCUGCUUCGGCCCUCCUCAAGACCAAAUCGCCAGCUCUGAACCUCCGAGCCUUGACUUUGCGAUUAAAAUGUUUUGCUGUCUUUGCUUGGUAAGAGGCCACUUUUAUAGCGGCUUGCUCCCGCACUUCUUCCAAGAGAUCAAGAUGUUCAGUUGUAUGUUCCAAGGUUUCUGGCACGAGCCUCCUAUGGCUUGGCAGUCUAAUUUCCACUGGGACCAUUGCUUCAACGCCAUAGGCUAACAUAAAAGGGGUUUCUCCUGUGGUUGUCCUAUGAGUUGUUCUGUACGUCCAAAGUAUAGAAGGCAGCUCGUCGGACCAAGAACCCCUAGCAUCACUUAUUCUUGUUCGGAGGUCUUGCAAUAUGAUUCGAUUUGUUACCUCGGCCAGACCGUUGCUCUGAGGAUGCGAAACUGACGUCAGACGGUGAUCAAUCCCAAGGUUUGAGCAAAAGUUUCUAAACUGUUGGUUGUCAAAUUGCCUGCCAUUGUCGGUGAUGAGGACCUUUGGUAUCCCAAACCUGCAAAUGAUAGACCUCCAAGUGAAGGCUCUUAGCUUGGGCUCCGAUAUUGUGGCGAGAGGUUCGGCCUCUACCCAUUUUGUGAAGUACUCUACUGCUACAGCAACAAACUUUAACUGACCUCUUGCCACAGGGAAGGGGCCGAGGAUGUCAACUCCCCAUUGUUCAAACGGGGCCGAACAGUUAAUGUUGGUGAGGUCCUCGGCUGGUGAGUGGAUAAUAUUGCCAAACCUCUGGCACUUAUCACAAUUUUUAACAUAUUCUGAGGCGUCUUUUUUCAUAGUUGGCCAGUAGUAUCCAUAUCGUACGAGUUUAAAGGCCAAGGCCCUGGCUCCUUGAUGAUUCCCGCACACACCUUCGUGAACUUCAGCAAGGGCCUGGGAUGAUUCUGAUGGCCUGAGACACCUUAGGUACGGAAGAGUAAUACUUCUGCGGAAAAGGACACCGCUGAUCAUGCAGUACCUAGGAGCUCGGGCUCUGAUGCUUCUGGCCAACCUGGCAUCGCUUGGUAGACUUCCGUUUGUGAUGAAUUCUAUAAUCGGGUCCAUCCAGGAUGGUUCGUUGUCAAUGUCCAUGAUGUCGAGGGUUUGACUGAUGCUGGGUUCUGUGAUGAUUUUAAUGUGAACCGUUCUGUCAAGGCCGUCUACCCCCAUGAACAUAAGCCUGGAUAAUGCAUCGGCUUUUCCGUUGUCCUUUCGAGCAAUUUUUGUAAUUUCACAGCUCUUGAAUUUUCGCUGAAGAUCCUGAACCUUCAUACAGUACAAACUCAUUUUCUCCUCCUUCCUUUCAAAUGAUCCUUCAAUCUGUCCGACCACUAGCUGUGAAUCGCUGAAUACCUUUACGAACUCGAGCUCUAGGCAAAGGGCUAGUUCAAGAGCAAUAACGACGGCCUCAUACUCGGCCUCGUUGUUGGUUGCUUCAAACUCGAAUCUGAGAGCGCAUUGGAUCUCUGUUUGUUUGUCAGGGCUGAUGAUGAUGACCCCUGCGCCCGAGCCCGAGGAGUUCGAUGCUCCAUCCACAAAUAUUUGCCAAGUGUCCAAAUUAGUGCUCAUGCUCGAGCUCUCACCUGGCCCCCGAGGCCUAGGGGUUAGUUCUGCAAUGAAGUCGGCCAGAGCUUGGGCUUUGAUAGAUGGGCGUGGUUUGAAUUCUAUGUCAAAUUCCCCAAGCUC
rnacentral:lncRNA from 1 species